UGGUAUAUGUAUACUUGUUGCAUUGCACAUGAUGCCCUGUUGUUUUUGUGAAUCGCAAGGAUAACAGAUAACUUAUUUCUACUCACCAAAUAUAGGACUUCUGUUGUGUUCUGAAGAUUCUGUUACAAAUCUAUAUCAAAAUAAAAGAUGGACUACUUGACACAGAAAUGGAAGCUGUGGUAUAAGUCCUUGGACGUCAACCUCGACGGGAAGAUCUCGCUGGAAGAUGUCGAAGAGUCCCGAAAUAAAUUUACGGAACUUCACCAUCUUUUUGGCGACAAGGCCGACUCCGUCAAGGCAGACAUCAAAACUGGUGGAUAACAUACAUCCUGAACGGCAAAGAUCAAGUAUCUGAAGAGCAAUUUAUUUCUAGUGUCACUGUCACUUAUGAAAAGGACAAGGAAGACUUCAAGGCCAACAUACAGAAAUGUUUUGAAGCGAUUUUUAACGUCAGUGAUACAAAUAAAGAUGGCUCCAUUGACCUUGAUCAAUUCAUUCUUAUUUUUAAGGCCUUUGGACACAACAAAGAGGACCCUGUUCGAGAGGCCUUUAAACUUUUUGAUAAAGAAUUGGUGCCAGUUGGAGAGAUUGUGACAGCCUGGGUCCAGUUUGUGACCGACGAAGACAGCACAAAACGUGACGUCAUGCGCGAAGUUUUGGAAUCCGCAGUUUAAGCAAUAAAUAUGACGUAUAACAUGACUCACGUCUACUUUUCAUCUAGAGACAAGGAAUAUCGAAAGAAAAAAAAAACGUUUUAAUGUCCAUGCGCAUUUCUUUUACUGACUUUACUUGCUCGAACACUCAGCUGUGUGAUCAGGUGGCAUGAUUAUAAAGAAUUUGGGAAUUAAGUCUCUCUCUCUCUCUCUCUCUCUCUCUCUCUCUCUCUCUCUCUCUUCAUACUCUGCUCUGAUCUUUGCUUUUUACUAUGAUUUAUUUGAAUAAAUAUGGUUUUAACUGA